rnacentral:rRNA from 1 species
AACGAACGCUGGCGGCAUGCUUAACACAUGCAAGUCGAACGAGUAAGAGCUCUAGCUCGCUAGAGAAUUCUGCUAGUGGCAAACGGGUGAGUAACGCGUGGGAAUCUACCCAUUAGUACGGAAUAACUCCUGGAAACAGGUGCUAAUACCGUAUAUUCUCUUCGGAGGAAAGAUUUAUCGCUAAUGGAUGAGCCCGCGUUAGAUUAGGUAGUUGGUAGGGUAAUGGCCUACUAAGCCUGCGAUCUAUAGCUGGUCUGAGAGGAUGAUCAGCCACACUGGAACUGCGACACGGUCCAG